rnacentral:rRNA from 1 species
AGAGUUUGAUCCUGGCUCAGGAUGAACGCUGGCGGUAUGCUUAACACAUGCAAGUCGAACGGUCUCUUCGGAGAUAGUGGCGGACGGGUGAGUAACGCGUGAGAAUCUGGCUCUAGGUCGGGGACAACAGUUGGAAACGACUGCUAAUACCGGAUGUGCCGAGAGGUGAAAGAUUUAUUGCCUAGAGAUGAGCUCGCGUCUGAUUAGCUAGUUGGUAGAGUAAGAGCCUACCAAGGCGACGAUCAGUAGCUGGUCUGAGAGGAUGAUCAGCCACACUGGGACUGAGACACGGCCCAGACUCCUACGGGAGGCAGCAGUGGGGAAUUUUCCGCAAUGGGCGAAAGCCUGACGGAGCAAUACCGCGUGAGGGAGGAAGGCUCUUGGGUUGUAAACCUCUUUUCUCAGGGAAUAACAAAAUGAAGGUACCUGAGGAAUCAGCAUCGGCUAACUCCGUGCCAGCAGCCGCGGUAAUACGGAGGAUGCAAGCGUUAUCCGGAAUGAUUGGGCGUAAAGCGUCCGCAGGUGGCUAUGUAAGUCUGCUGUUAAAGAGUGAGGCUUAACCUCAUAAAAGCAGUGGAAACUACAUAGCUAGAGUGCGUUCGGGGCAGAAGGAAUUCCUGGUGUAGCGGUGAAAUGCGUAGAGAUCAGGAAGAACACCGGUGGCGAAGGCGUUCUGCUAGGCCGCAACUGACACUGAGGGACGAAAGCUAGGGGAGCGAAUGGGAUUAGAUACCCCAGUAGUCCUAGCCGUAAACGAUGGAUACUAGGCGUUGCGAGUAUCGACCCUCGCAGUGCCGGAG